rnacentral:rRNA from 1 species
GAUCCUACGGGGGGCAGCAGUGAGGAAUAUUGGUCAAUGGGCGCGAGCCUGAACCAGCCAAGUCGCGUGAGGGAAGACGGUCCUAUGGAUUGUAAACCUCUUUUGUCGGAGAACAAAACCCGGGACGUGUCCCGGACUGCGUGUAUCCGAAGAAAAGGCAUCGGCUAACUCCGUGCCAGCAGCCGCGGUAAUACGGAGGAUGCGAGCGUUAAUCGGAAUUACUGGGCGUAAAGGGUGUGCAGGCGGCUGAGUAAGACAGAUGUGAAAUCCCCGGGCUUAACCUGGGAACCGCAUAUGUGACUGCU